GACGAACGCUGGCGGCGUGCUUAACACAUGCAAGUCGAACGGUAAGGCCCUUCGGGGUACACGAGUGGCGAACGGGUGAGUAACACGUGGGUGAUCUGCCCUGCACUUCGGGAUGAGCCUGGGAAACUGGGUCUAAUACCGGAUAGGACUCCGGACUGCAUGGUCUGGGGUGGAAAGCUUUUGCGGUGUGGGGUGGGCCCGCGGCCUAUCAGCUGGUUGGUGGGGUGAUGGCCUACCAAGGCGACGACGGGUAGCCGGCCUGGGAGGGUGACCGGCCACACGGGGACUGAGAUACGGCCCAGACUCCUACGGGGGGCAGCAGUGGGGAAUAUUGCACAAUGGGCGCAAGCCUGAUGCAGCGACGCCGCGUGAGGGAUGACGGCCUUCGGGUUGUAAACCUCUUUCAGCAUCGACGAAGCGAAAGUGACGGUAGGUGCAGAAGAAGGACCGGCCAGCUACGUGCCAGCCGCCGCCGUAA
rnacentral:rRNA from 1 species